rnacentral:rRNA from 1 species
AGUGAACGCUGGCGGUAGGCCUAACACAUGCAAGUCGAACGGCAGCACAGUAAGAGCUUGCUCUUACGGGUGGCGAGUGGCGGACGGGUGAGGAAUACAUCGGAAUCUACUUUUUCGUGGGGGAUAACGUAGGGAAACUUACGCUAAUACCGCAUACGACCUACGGGUGAAAGCAGGGGAUCUUCGGACCUUGCGCGAUUGAAUGAGCCGAUGUCGGAUUAGCUAGUUGGCGGGGUAAAGGCCCACCAAGGCGACGAUCCGUAGCUGGUCUGAGAGGAUGAUCAGCCACACUGGAACUGAGACACGGUCCGGACUCCUACGGGGGGCAGCAGUGGGGAAUAUUGGACAAUGGGCGCAAGCCUGAUCCAGCCAUACCGCGUGGGUGAAGAAGGCCUUCGGGUUGUAAAGCCCUUUUGUUGGGAAAGAAAAGCAGCAGGUUAAUACCCCGCUGUUCUGACGGUACCCAAAGAAUAAGCACCGGCUAACUUCGUG